CAAACCAAUGCUGGGAAUCCAGAAAAAGUCAUAUGCCCUUGCAAAUGUUGCAAAAAUCGAUUUCACCAACAUUUUGAUAUAAUGUAUGGAUAUUUAAUCAUUAAUGGCAUGGAUCCUACGUAUAGUACCUAUGUAUUUCAUGGGAAAAAAUCGAAUGCAGAGAUGCAUUUUUUCAAGAUCACAAUAAUGUGGAAUCCGAAAAUGAUGAUAGAGAGAAAGAAGUUUCAAAUUUAUAUGACGACGUCGAAGUUCCUUUAUAUCCUAAUUGCACGAAGUAUACAAGGAUAUCUGCAAUCGUUGCCUUGUAUAAGCUUAAAGCUAUUCAUGGUAUAUCUGACAAAGGUUUUAAUGAACUUCUUGAUAUUAUCCGAGAUAUGCUACCACAUGUGAACACCCUUCCUGAUUCUUGCAAUUCACCGAAAAGGUUAUUGAACACCUUUGAUUUAGGCUAUGAGAAGAUACAUGCAUGUGUAAAUGAUUGUUGCUUGUUUAGAAAUGAUCUAGUUAAUUUGGAUACAUGUCCAAAAUAUGGAUCUUCACGGUGGAAAGUUAAUGAACGGACUAAGAAGAUUCAAAAAGGGAUAUUUGCAAAGGUUUUACGAUAUUUUCCAAUUAUACCACGAUUUAGAAGAAUGUUUAGGUCACUCGAUAAGGCAGAACAACUAAUAUGUCACUCAAAUUACACAAGUCAAGAUGGAAAAAUGCGUCAUCCAGUUGAUUCAUUAGCUUGGGAGAGAAUUGAUAAAAAAAAAAUGGCUUUGUUUUGUAUCAGAACCACGAAAUCUUAGUCUUGGCCUUUCCUCUGAUGGAUUUAAUCCCUUUCGUGACCUAAAUUCUAGGUAUAGUUGUUGGCCAGUGAUACUAGUUAUAUAUAAUCUCCCUCCUUGGAUAUGCAUGUCUAAGGAAAAUUUGUUGUUGACUUUAUUAAUUCCAAGUCCAAAGCAACCUGGAGAUGAUAUAGAUGUGUACCUAGAACCACUAAUAGAAGACAUAAAGGAGAUGUAGAAUAUUGGUGUUGAAGUAUAUGGUGGAUUUACUAAGUCUACCUUCAAUUUGAAGGCUGUGCUAAUGUAGAUAAUGGUUUUCCAGCUUAUGGGAAUUUAUUAGAAUAUCCUAUGAAAGGCGAAGUAGCAUGUCCAGUUUGUGGGUUACCCAUAUGUGCAAAAUGGUUGACAUGUAGUCGAAAGUUUUCAUACAUGGGUCAUAGAAGAUUUCUUGCAUAUAAUCAUCCAUAUCGACCGAAAGAAGCUUGGUUUGAUGGAAACAAGGAGCAUAGGCCUAGUCCUAAAAUAUUAACUGGGAAGUGAUGUGUUUAGUAAAAAAUGUUAGCAAUAAUUGGGGAAAAUAGGAAAAAAAAAAAAAAAAGAUGAGAAAAUCAUAUUCUAAUUGGCCAUGGAGAAAAAAGUCAAUAUUCUUUGAGCUACCAUAUUGGGAGGUUAGUCAUUUUAAACUAUUUUGAAUUAGUUAUUUCUCUGCUUAAACUUUUUUUUUCUAAAUUUAUAUUUUUAUUUUCAUAUAUUACUUUUGCGUCAUAAUUUGGAUGUAAUGCACAUUGAGAAGAAUGUUUGUGAAAUCAUUCUCGGCACUAUUUGGCAUAUGAAGGGAAAAUCAAAAGAUGAGCUAAAUUCUCAUAAGGAUUUACUCAAUAUCGGUAUUAGAAAGGAUCUUCAUCUAGAAUUGAAAGGAAAUACAUAUUACCUACCGGCAGCAUCAUAUAUGCUAUCCAAAAAAGAGAAAGAGUUAUUUUGUAAGAGGUUAUUUGAUUUAAAAUUACCUGAUGGUUAUAACUCUAACAUUUUAAAGUGUGUAUUAUUAGUGGAUAAUAGGAUUUUAAAUCUGAAGUCUCAUGAUUAUCAUGUGCUCAUACAACAGUUGUUAUCAGUUGCAUUAAGAGGAUUUUUAUCUAAUGGACCAAGAAAUUCAAUUUUUCGACUGUGUAUUUUUCAAUGAAAUAUGUCAAAGAGUCGCAGAUAAAAAUAAAUUAGAAAAGCUUGAGGAGGAUGUUGCCGUGAUUUUGUGUAUGCUAAAAAAGUAUCUUCCUCCAUCUUUUUUUGACAUAAUGAUUCAUUUAACCGUCCACCUUGGGCGUGAGGUUUGUAUUGGUGGAUUUGUACAAUAUCGUUGGAUGUAUCCAUUUGAAAGGUAAAUUACUAUUAUAUUUUUGUUAACUAUUCAAACUUUCGUCUUCUAAUUACUUAGAUAUCUCAUGCCUAUUAUAUGGUGAAAUAGGUUUAUGAAAACACUUAAAUUAUAUGUUAUAAAUCAUUCAAGACCUGAAGGAUGCAUCGCAGAGCGUUAUUUAGCCGAUGAAUGUAUGCAUUUUUGAAGUAGUUAUAUGAAACAAGCUGCUGAAGUAGGUGUUCGACAUACUCGAAAUGAGAAUUUUGAGAAUGAAACAAUUAUUGCUGGGCAUGCAAUCUCUAAAGGAAAUUCAAAGACCUUGAGUCAAGAAAUGUUAGAGGUCGCUCAUCGUUAUGUGCUAUUUAACAGCGUUGCAGUUGAGCCGUAUAACUGGAUAUUAAUUUUACAACUGGUUAUUAAUUUGUACAACUGGAUAUUAAUUUUAUAGUCUAGAGACAGAAGUUUGAAUGGUUUAGAUAACCUUUUAAAUAAGAAGUGCAAAUUGUUAUCAUGGUUUGGGGAGCUGAUAUUGUUGCAAAAGGUGAAAUCGUAUCAACAAAUCCAAAUGAUCUAGUGCAUCAUGUACCCCUCGAUAAUGAAUGUUGGAGAGUUUUGGUUAAUGAAAUGAUCAAUAAUGUUAGCUUAUAUCGUCCCAUGCUUGAGUUUUUUCUUUUUGAAGAUGCAUUAGAAAGUACAAUUGCAUUGCCAAGUAGGUACAUCGAAGUGGAUUCGCUAUAAUCACAAUGAAGGUAUGCUUAACUUCUUUUCUAUUUUAAUUUCAUUUACCUUUAUGUUCGGCCUCAAUUGAAGAUUGGGUUGUUUAAUGUAUUUCUUGAUAUACUUCUGAUUUGGAUGCUUAUUAAUUAUAUCCUUAUUAUUUUCGUGGUGUGCAGGGGAUCCAUAUUUUGUGGGGUAGCUAAAUUGUUGGUCAAAGAAGUGAACUUUGAUAGGUUUAAUAAUUUUUUGUUUUAUGACGGAACCUCAAUAUCCACAAGCUUAUUAGUUGAAUGGUGAUUGGCGCAUACAAUAGUAGUCAAAAAAUUUUGAGAAUUGUUUAGAUGAAUUUUAUAUUAGCAUAUUGUAUUGAACCGUAC
rnacentral:lncRNA from 1 species